GUUAACUGGUCUAGGAACAGUGGGGUUAACUGGUCUAGGAACAGUGGGGUUAACUGGUCUAGGAACAGUGGGGUUAACUGGUCUAGGAACAGUGGGGUUAACUGGUCUAGGAACAGUGGGGUUAACUGGUCUAGGAACAGUGGGGUUAACUGGUCUAGGAACAGUGGGGUUAACUGGUCUAGGAACAGUGGGGUUAACUGGUCUAGGAACAGUGGGGUUAACUGGUCUAGGAACAGUGGGGUUAACUGGUCUAGGAACAGUGGGGUUAACUGGUCUAGGAACAGUGGGUUAACUGGUCUAGGAACAGUGGGGUUAACUGGUCUAGGAACAGUGGGUUAACUGGUCUAGGAACAGUGGGGUUAACUGGUCUAGGAACAGUGGGGUUAACUGGUCUAGGAACAGUGGGGUUAACUGGUCUAGGAACAGUGGGUUAACUGGUCUAGGAACAGUGGGUUAACUGGUCUAGGAACAGUGGGGUUAACUGGUCUAGGAACAGUGGGGUUAACUGGUCUAGGAACAGUGGGUUAACUGGUCUAGGAACAGUGGGUUAACUGGUCUAGGAACAGUGGGUUAACUGGUCUAGGAACAGUGGGGUUAACUGGUCUAGGAACAGUGGGGUUAACUGGUCUAGGAACAGAGGGUUAACUGGUCUAGGAACAGUGGGUUAACUGGUCUAGGAACAGUGGGUUAACUGGUCUAGGAACAGUGGGGUUAACUGGUCUAGGAACAGUGGGUUAACUGGCCUAGGAACAGUGGGUUAACUGGCCUAGGAACAGUGGGUUAACUGGUCUAGGAACAGUGGGUUAACUGGUCUAGGAACAGUGGGUUAACUGGUCUAGGAACAGUGGGUUAACUGGCCUAGGAACAGUGGGUUAACUGGUCUAGGAACAGUGGGUUAACUGGUCUAGGAACAGUGGGUUAACUGGUCUAGGAACAGUGGGUUAACUGGUCUAGGAACAGUGGGUUAACUGGUCUAGGAACAGUGGGUUAACUGGUCUAGGAACAGUGGGUUAACUGGUCUAGGAACAGUGGGUUAACUGGUCUAGGAACAGUGGGUUAACUGGUCUAGGAACAGUGGGUUAACUGGUCUAGGAACAGUGGGUUAACUGGUCUAGGAACAGUGGGUUAACUGGUCUAGGAACAGUGGGUUAACUGGUCUAGGAACAGUGGGUUAACUGGUCUAGGAACAGUGGGUUAACUGGUCUAGGAACAGUGGGUUAACUGGUCUAGGAACAGUGGGUUAACUGGUCUAGGAACAGUGGGUUAACUGGUCUAGGAACAGUGGGUUAACUGGUCUAGGAACAGUGGGUUAACUGGUCUAGGAACAGUGGGUUAACUGGUCUAGGAACAGUGGGUUAACUGGCCUAGGAACAGUGGGUUAAC